AUUGAACGCUGGCGGCGUGCUUAACACAUGCAAGUCGAUCGGUAACAGGUGUAGCAAUACAUGCUGACGAGAGGCGGACGGGUGAGUAAUGCUUGGGAAUCUGCCUAUUAGUGGGGGACAACCCGGGGAAACUCGGGCUAAUACCGCAUACGCUCUACGGAGGAAAGCCGGGGACCGCAAGGCCUGGCGCUAAUAGAUGAGCCCAAGUCGGAUUAGCUAGUUGGUAGGGUAACGGCCUACCAAGGCGACAAUCCGUAGCUGGUCUGAGAGGACGACCAGCCACACCGGAACUGAGACACGGUCCGGACUCCUACGGGAGGCAGCAGUGGGGAAUAUUGGACAAUGGGGGCAACCCUGAUCCAGCGACGCCGCGUGGGUGAAGAAGGCCUGCGGGUUGUAAAGCCCUUUCGGUGGGGAAGAAAAGUCUCGACCUAAUACGUCGGGACCUUGACGUAACCCCACUAAAGAAGCACCGGCUAACUCUGUGCCAGCAGCCG
rnacentral:rRNA from 1 species